GAAAUGCGAUAAGUAAUGUGAAUUGCAGAAUUCAGUGAAUCAUCGAAUCUUUGAACGCACCUUGCGCUCCUUGGUAUUCCUUGGAGCAUGCCUGUUUGAGUAUCAUGAAAUCUUCAAAGUAAAUCUUUUGUUAACUCAAUUGGUUUCUACUUUGGUAUUGGAGGUCUUUGCAGCUUCACACCUGCUCCUCUUUGUUCAUUAGCUGGAUCUCAGUGUUAUGCUUGGUUCCACUCGGCGUGAUAAGUUAUCUAUCGCUGAGGACACUGUAAAAGGUGGCCAAGGUAAAUGCAGAUGAACCGCUUCUAAUAGUCCAUUGACUUGGACAAUACUUUUAUGAUCCGAUCUCAAAUCAGGUAGGACUACCCGCUGAACUUAAGC
rnacentral:misc_RNA from 1 species